UACCAGCACCCCGGGUGGUCGGGACGAUUAUUGGGCCUAAAGCAUCCGUAGCCGGUUCUGCAAGUCCCCCGUUAAAUCCAGCUGCUCAACAGAUGGGCCGCGGAGGAUACUCCAGAGCUAGGAGGCAGGAGAGGCAAGCGGUACUCAGUGGGUAGGGGUAAAAUCCGUUGAUCCAUUGAAGACCACCAGUGGCGAAGGCGGCUUGCCAGAAUGCGCUCGACGGUGAGGGAUGAAAGCUGGGGGAGCAAACCGG
rnacentral:rRNA from 1 species